UAGGGAAUCUUCGGCAAUGGACGAAAGUCUGACCGAGCAACGCCGCGUGAGUGAAGAAGGUUUUCGGAUCGUAAAACUCUGUUGUUAGAGAAGAACAGGGACGUUAGUAACUGAACGUCCCCUGACGGUAUCUAACCAGAAAGCCACGGCUAACUACGUGCCAGCAGCCGCGGUAAUACGUAGGUGGCAAGCGUUGUCCGGAUUUAUUGGGCGUAAAGCGAGCGCAGGCGGUUUCUUAAGUCUGAUGUGAAAGCCCCCGGCUCAACCGGGGAGGGUCAUUGGAAACUGGGAGGACUGAGGGCAGGAGAGGAGAGUGGAAUUCCAUGUGUAGGGGUUAAAAGCGUAGAUAUAUUGGGGAACACCAGUGGCGGAGGCGGCUCUCUGGUCUGUAACUGACGCUGAGGCUCGAAAGCGUGGGGAGCAAACAGG
rnacentral:rRNA from 1 species